AUGUUGUACAGAAUCACAUAUGUACAUCAGUUAUUAGUUUUGUACCAUCUUUUGGCAACUGUAAUCAAAAGGGGAAAAAAAACUAGCAUCAGUGUUUUUCUUAGGCAUAGCAACUUGGCAGGAUGUGACAUGCAAUUUGCACUUGCAACGAACUUACUAGUGGUUCCUAAAGUUGCUUUUGAUUUAGUAUGGAUCUGGACCAGAGAAUCAACCUUGAACCCCACAGGCCACAGUACGAGUAAUGUCCAACCUAAUCAUACUUGCUUUUCAUCCAUUGUGCAAGUUAUGUCUAGUCAUAGUACAUCUGUACUUACUUGCACUCCACUUAUUUUAUUUGGCAUGGAAUGGAUGUGGCCACUUGAUGAAUAUGCAUGCCAACUUAUUGUACAAAAAUUUCUUUCUUUUUCCUCUUCCAAAUUCCCAGGAAGCUGA
rnacentral:rRNA from 1 species